rnacentral:rRNA from 1 species
CCUACGGGGGGCAGCAGUAGGGAAUCUUCGGCAAUGGACGAAAGUCUGACCGAGCAACGCCGCGUGAGUGAGGAAGGCCUUCGGGUCGUAAAACUCUGUUGUCAGGGAAGAACAAGUACCGUUCGAACAGGGCGGUACCUUGACGGUACCUGACCAGAAAGCCACGGCUAACUACGUGCCAGCAGCCGCGGUAAUACGUAGGUGGCAAGCGUUGUCCGGAAUUAUUGGGCGUAAAGCGCGCGCAGGCGGUCUCUUAAGUCUGAUGUGAAAGCCCACGGCUCAACCGUGGAGGGUCAUUGGAAACUGGGGGACUUGAGUACUGGAGAGGAGAGUGGAAUUCCACGUGUAGCGGUGAAAUGCGUAGAUAUGUGGAGGAACACCAGUGGCGAAGGCGGCUCUCUGGCCAGUAACUGACGCUGAGGCGCGAAAGCGUGGGGAG